rnacentral:rRNA from 1 species
GACGAACGCUGGCGGCGUGCCUAAUACAUGCAAGUCGAGCGCAGGAAAUCGACGGAACCCUUCGGGGGGAAGUCGGCGGAAUGAGCGGCGGACGGGUGAGUAACACGUAAAGAACCUGCCCUCAGGUCUGGGAUAACCACGAGAAAUCGGGGCUAAUACCGGAUGGGUCAUCGGACCGCAUGGUCCGAGGAUGAAAGGCGCUUCGGCGUCGCCGGGGGAUGGCUUUGCGGUGCAUUAGCUAGUUGGUGGGGUAAUGGCCCACCAAGGCGACGAUGCAUAGCCGACCUGAGAGGGUGAUCGGCCACACUGGGACUGAGACACGGCCCAGACUCCUACGGGAGGCAGCAGUAGGGAAUCUUCCACAAUGGACGAAAGUCUGAUGGAGCAACGCCGCGUGAACGAUGAAGGCCUUCGGGUCGUAAAGUUCUGUUGUAAGGGAAGAACAAGUGCCGCAGGCAAUGGCGGCACCUUGACGGUACCUUGCGAGAAAGCCACGGCUAACUACGUGCCAGCCGCCGCCGUAA